rnacentral:rRNA from 1 species
GACGAACGCUGGCGGCGUGCUUAACACAUGCAAGUGGAGCGACGAACCAGGCUUCGGCCUGGGGCAGAGCCGCGAACGGGUGAGUAACACGUGGGUAACCUGCCUCGAUGACUGGGACAA